CUUUCUGAGUUUCCCCUGCUUGGAAGCGGAGCCGGGCGGAGCAGCGACGCUCAGAGGUCCGGUGAAGACGGCCGGGUUUUUCUGGACCACGUGGUUCUGAGUUUCAACUUCCCCCAGGAAUUCUACGCUUCUCCAUCAGAAGGUCCAUCGGUGUCGGAAUGGCCGCCUCUUCUUUGGAACAGACGGGCUCCUUAUUCCUUUCCCGCGAGCUAAGAUCAUUAAGGUAUCGUCAGUCAGUAAGUGUUAAGAGUGAGCAUCAAACAGAUGGAGGAUCUCAUGGCUUUUUUUUUUUUCUGCGCUUCAAGGAGAAGACCCGUUGGUGUUCGCGCCCCCUAGGAAACAGACGGCGGAAUCUCCUUUCUGCUUCCUUUCUCGCCGCUGCUGGGUGUC